CGGUAUCCCGCGGGGCGUCCGUACGCUGCUGACCCGCGGAAUGGGGAAGCCGGUUAGCGUGCUAAACAGUAGCCUGUUAGAGCCGCACGGUUUGCACAUUCCUAAGUAAUUCUGACUGCACGUAUCGCUUCAGUCAGUGUGUUAAGUACAUCUUUUCAGGAAUAGCAGCAGACCGGAGGACUCCACGACGCCAAGAAGUCCGAAGCAUCUGGUUUUUGUUACGUGAACACCAUCGUCUUGGUCAUUUGAGUUGCUCAAGACAUCGGCGGCUGGAAAGAGCAAAUACUACGCAGUGAAUUACCCACGAAGCCAGCUUUAAACCGAUCAUGGCCAAAGUAAUGGAGAUGUACCAGCCGAGCGCAGUGGUCCUUCAGUGUGGAGCUGAUUCAACAUCACUUUUAAAAGGUAUGAAAAGAAAUGGAUUUAAUCUUUUCACAACUAUUGACUAAAGAGUUAGUGGCACAUCAACUGGACCAAUCCAGUACAGACAAGUUUGACUACAGACAGAACAAGUAGAGUUAUUGCAUUUACUUCAUUUGAAUUUGCAGAAGAUUAGGAGAAGGAGGGAGAGGAGAUUGGGGUGAGGACUUUGAAGUAUGUGCUAGAUGUACAGCUGUUUUGACUUUAUUCCAAAAAAAACAAAACAAAAAAACUUUUUUUUGCUACUUGACUUGUUUCAUGUAGCCAUUGUUGAAUGUGGAAUUCUUUAGAGUACUAAGUAGUGGCACAAGGCAAAUGAGUGGUUUGCUUCUGUUGAUAGUGGUUAAUUGAAGCAUUUUGUAACAUGCUAGUGCUAAACACUUUGAACAUGGUGUAGUCAUCUGAGAGCAUUUGUAUGGAAUGUUGUCUUUAUUUCAUCUUGUUUCAAGCCAAAAGAAGAGGUUAAACCAAGUUGUUCCACUCCUGAUGAUGCCCGGUGAUGGUUGAAACAUGGCGCUGUGUGAAGAUACAGGGGAAAAGAAGGUUUUGCUCUUAUUACGACGGUACGUAUUUCCAUCUCUGGUUCUCUUCACUUUGGCGAUUAACGCGUCAGUAUUCCGCAGAGCGUCCAUACGCU